rnacentral:rRNA from 1 species
AUUGAACGCUGGCGGCAGGCCUAACACAUGCAAGUCGAGCGGAUGAAGGGAGCUUGCUCCUGGAUUCAGCGGCGGACGGGUGAGUAAUGCCUUGGAAUCUGCCUGGUAGUGGGGGAUAACGUCCGGAAACGGGCGCUAAUACCGCAUACGUCCUGAGGGAGAAAGUGGGGGAUCUUCGGACCUCACGCUAUCAGAUGAGCCUAGGUCGGAUUAGCUAGUUGGUGGGGUAAAGGCCUACCAAGGCGACGAUCCGUAACUGGUCUGAGAGGAUGAUCAGUCACACUGGAACUGAGACACGGUCCAGACUCCUACGGGAGGCAGCAGUGGGGAAUAUUGGACAAUGGGUGAAAGCCUGAUCCAGCCAUGCCGCGUGUGUGAAGAAGGUCUUCGGAUUGUAAAGCACUUUAAGUUGGGAGGAAGGGCAGUAAGUUAAUACCUUGCUGUUUUGACGUUACCAACAGAAUAAGCACCGGCUAACUUCGUG